GACGACGCUGGCGGCGUGCCUAACACAUGCAAGUCGAGCGGGGUUGAGGCGAGAGGUAACUCGAGCUUCUACCUAGCGGCGGACGGGUGAGUAACGCGUGGGCAACCUGCCUCAAGGUUUGGGAUAACAGCCCGAAAGGGCUGCUAAUACCGGAUAUGCCUAUGGCCUCGCAUGGGGCUAUGAGCAAAGGGGAAACCCGCCUUGAGAUGGGCCCGCGUCCCAUCAGCUAGUUGGUGAGGUAACAGCUCACCAAGGCGACGACGGGUAGCCGGCCUGAGAGGGUGACCGGCCACACUGGGACUGAGACACGGCCCAGACUCCUACGGGGGGCAGCAGUGGGGGAUCUUGCACAAUGGGCGAAAGCCUGAUGCAGCGACGCCGCGUGAGCGAAGAAGGCCUUCGGGUUGUAAAGCUCUGUCUCGGAGGGACGAACAAAAUGACGGUACCUCCGGAGGAAGCCUACGGCUAACCUACGGUG
rnacentral:rRNA from 1 species